CUUAAAUUUGACAGACCAAUAAUUUUUCUCUCGGUCGUGUUCGCUGUUUUCUUGUUCACCCCUAUAUAGUUUUCGAUUUCGGUAAUUCGCGUAGUGACCGUCGCUCAGAACCCUCCGAAUAGAACCGGAAUCACGAUUGAAGACCAGAAAAAUGACUGGCACAGCAACAAAGAUAGCCUGCCGAAUGGAAUUCAACUGGAACUGAAGUUUUCUGGAACCGGAGGAAGCUUCCUGAAAAGCCGACAUGGAGCAUGAAGACAAGUCAGCAACUUUAUCAGCAUUAACUUCCGUCGUAUUGCUCAGUUUCAAAGCCGAAGCCAACGGAGUCUUGGUCGCCGUAGGAAUGUGAACAGAAUUGCCGGUGUUUCAAAUGAUAUUUCUCUGAUGGUCAGCCUCAAAUCAUCAUGUGCCAUUGGGCACGUCACGCCGUUGCAAAUAUGCCUUAGAGUGGAUCGAACCAUUUGCGGAUCGGUGAACCCGCAUAGAAAAAUACAUUUUGGCUUACAUUGAAAACA